rnacentral:rRNA from 1 species
GACGAACGCUGGCGGCGCGCUUAACACAUGCAAGUCGAACGGAAAGGCCCUGCUUUUGUGGGGUGCUCGAGUGGCGAACGGGUGAGUAACACGUGAGUAACCUGCCCUUGACUUUGGGAUAACUUCAGGAAACUGGGGCUAAUACCGGAUAGGAGCUCCUGCUGCAUGGUGGGGGUUGGAAAGUUUCGGCGGUUGGGGAUGGACUCGCGGCUUAUCAGCUUGUUGGUGGGGUAGUGGCUUACCAAGGCUUUGACGGGUAGCCGGCCUGAGAGGGUGACCGGCCACAUUGGGACUGAGAUACGGCCCAGACUCCUACGGGAGGCAGCAGUGGGGAAUAUUGCACAAUGGGCGGAAGCCUGAUGCAGCAACGCCACGUGCGGGAUGACGGCCUUCGGGUUGUAAACCGCUUUCGCCUGUGACGAAGCGUGAGUGACGGUAAUGGGUAAAGAAGCACCGGCUAACUACGUG